rnacentral:rRNA from 1 species
UACGGAGGGUGCGAGCAUUAAUCGGAUUUACUGGGCGUAAAGGGCGCGUAGGCGGGUAAGCAAGUCGGGUGUGAAAUUCCUGGGCUCAACCUAGGAGCUGCACUUGAAACUGCGUAUCUUGAGGGGUGGCGGGGAAAACGGAAUUCCACGUGUAGCGGUGAAAUGCGUAGAUAUGUGGAAGAACACCGGUGGCGAAGGCGGUUUUCUAGCUAUUACCUGACGCUGAGGCGCGAGAGCAUGGGGAGCAAACAGG